GCUUGCUGGGGGGAUUAGUGGCGAACGGGUGAGUAACACGUGAGUAACCUGCCCUUGACUCUGGGAUAAGCCUGGGAAACUGGGUCUAAUACUGGAUACGACCAUUCCACGCAUGUGGUGGUGGUGGAAAGCUUUUGUGGUUUUGGAUGGACUCGCGGCCUAUCAGCUUGUUGGUGGGGUAAUGGCCUACCAAGGCGACGACGGGUAGCCGGCCUGAGAGGGUGGACGGCCACACUGGGACUGAGACACGGCCCAGACUCCUACGGGAGGCAGCAGUGGGGAAUAUUGCACAAUGGGCGCAAGCCUGAUGCAGCGACGCCGCGUGAGGGAUGAAGGCCUUCGGGUUGUAAACCUCUUUCAGUAGGGAAGAAGCGUAAGUGACGGUACCUGCAGAAGAAGCGCCGGCUAACUACGUGCCAGCAGCCGCGGUAAUACGUAGGGCGCAAGCGUUAUCCGGAAUUAUUGGGCGUAAAGAGCUCGUAGGCGGUUUGUCGCGUCUGCCGUGAAAGUCCGGGGCUUAACUCCGGAUCUGCGGUGGGUACGGGCAGACUUGAGUGAUGUAGGGGAGACUGGAAUUCCUGGUGUAGCGGUGAAAUGCGCAGAUAUCAGGAGGAACACCGAUGGCGAAGGCAGGUCUCUGGGCAUUAACUGACGCUGAGGAGCGAAAGCAUGGGGAGCGAACAGGAUUAGAUACCCUGGUAGUCCAUGCCGUAAACGUUGGGCACUAGGU
rnacentral:rRNA from 1 species